CACAUUAUUACCAGAGAGGGAAUCAGUGGCUUAUUCUUCAUCACAGUUAUUAGGGGGCAGAAUCAGAACUUCAACCCGCUUCCUGCUACCACUGUGUUUCUCUCUUUUCCCUGUCACCCCAGUGUUGCCUCUCUCUCUCCAGGCUUCCUCCUGUGUGAUACCUUAAUUCAUAUCUGAGAACAUUGUAGCUAUCUGCCAACACCCCCAUCAUCAGCUAAUGCCUUCCUUAUCGGCUAAUGCCGAGAGGAUUAAUGGGACCUGUGUGCCUGGAACCCAGCCAGGAGGUAGGCAGAUUCAGAGAGGGUAAGAGGGGAGGCACAGAGGAGAAACUGGCCCGAUUAGUGGGCUGCCUCCUGGCUGAGUCUGUGCCAGGCCAGCCUCAAAGGGAUUCUGUUGCCAAAGAAAUGUUUGCACUGAGCUGGAGCCUGAAAAUCGGAAACAUAAAAGUCCAGAGCAGGGGCCACCGCAUUGGGUGUAGAUGCACCAGCGUGCCAUCCAGGGGCAAAACCAGCUCUCCCCUGCGGCAGCUCCAUCUUCCCCAGCCACGUUACUCUGACGCCAGAGGAGCAAUUCACAGGAUCUGACAUGCUCCAGUGACUCUUCAGCCACUACACCUGUUAGAGAACUACUUCUUUAAAGAGGUCUAUACUUGCUACCUUUACUUUCUUACCUCUCAUUCAUCCUUUCCUCUUUUUUCCCCAAAAGAUUUAUUUAUUUAUUUUAGAGAAGGGGAGAGAGAAAGAGAGAGAGAGAGAGAGAGAGAGAACGAGCAAGCACGCAUGAGCAGGGGGAGCAGCAGAGAGAGAAGAAGACAAGCAGACUCCCUGCUCAGUGGGGAGCCCAAUGUGGGGCUUAAUCCCAGGACCCUGAGAUCAUGACUUGAGCUGAAACCAAGGGUUGAGUUCAACUGAUUGAACCACCCAGAUGCCUCCCUCUCAUUCAUUCUUAAAAAUGUUUGUAUGUGUGCUAUUACAUAUACACACAAGAAUAUAUGUGUAAAUAAUUUAUUUGUAAGUACAGUAUUAGUUAAGUUAGGCUAAGCUCUGCUGCUGUGAUAUACAAGCUCUAAAAUUUAGUAGACGAAGCAUAUUGCCAUCUCUACUUCAAAUGGCAUCAGACUACAGGUAGUGUUCUUCCAUUUGAUUUUUCUACUCAGCAAUGUUCCUAAGAGUCAUACAAUGUGAUGUAGGUAGCUAUAAUUUAUUUUUCAGUUCAUUUGUACUGCCUUCUAGGUAAAACACUGAAAUAAAUCCAAUGCACUCAUCA
rnacentral:lncRNA from 12 species